rnacentral:rRNA from 1 species
AUUGAACGCUGGCGGCAGGCCUAACACAUGCAAGUCGAGCGGCAGCGGGAAGUAGCUUGCUACUUUGCCGGCGAGCGGCGGACGGGUGAGUAAUGUCUGGGAAACUGCCUGAUGGAGGGGGAUAACUACUGGAAACGGUAGCUAAUACCGCAUAACGUCGCAAGACCAAAGAGGGGGCCCUUCGGGCCUAUUGACAUCAGCUGUACCCAGAUGGGAUUAGGUAGUAGGUGGGGUAAUGGCUCACCUAGGCGAGGAUACCUAGGUGGUCUGAGAGGAUGACCAGCCACACUGGAACUGAGACACGGUCCAGACUCCUACGGGAGGCAGCAGUGGGGAAUAUUGCACAAUGGGCGCAAGCCUGAUGCAGCCAUGCCGCGUGUAUGAAGAAGGCCUUCGGGUUGUAAAGUACUUUCAGCAGGGAGGAAGGUGUUGAGGUUAAUAACCUCAGCAAUUGACGUUACCCGCAGAAGAAGCACCGGCUAACUCCGUGCCAGCCGCCGCCGUAA